rnacentral:tRNA from 1 species
AUGAUGCUAGUAAAACAAUUACACUGCCUUGUCAAGGCAGUAUUGCAAGUUAAAACCUUGCGCAUCUUA